rnacentral:lncRNA from 1 species
UCUUUGUUGCCGUCUUGUUUCAUUGAGCUUCAUAAGCAACAGUUGAUGUUAACUCCAUGGGAGCAGAUACUUAAAUCAGCUCAAAAUGUGCUCUUCAAUGAAGAACUGUUUGCACAGAUUGUACAAUCAUUUGUGAUGAGGAACUUGUAUUAUAUAAUGUGAAACUGCACAAGAGGAAAGUUUUACUAGGUC